rnacentral:rRNA from 1 species
UACAGAGGGUGCAAGCGUUAAUCGGAAUCACUGGGCGUAAAGCGCACGUAGGCGGAUUGCUAAGUCAGGGGUGAAAUCCUGGAGCUCAACUCCAGAACUGCCUUUGAUACUGGCGAUCUCGAGUCCGGGAGAGGUGAGUGGAACUGCGAGUGUAGAGGUGAAAUUCGUAGAUAUUCGCAAGAACACCAGUGGCGAAGGCGGCUCACUGGCCCGGUACUGACGCUGAGGUGCGAAAGCGUGGGGAGCAAACAGG